rnacentral:rRNA from 1 species
UACGGAAGGCAGCAGGGGGGAAUAUUGCACAAUGGGCGCAAGCCUGAUGCAGCCAUGCCGCGUGUAUGAAAAAGGCCUUCGGGUUGUAAAGUACUUUCAGUCGUGAGGAAGGUGUUAAGGUUAAUAACCUUAGCAAUUGACGUUAGCGACAGAAGAAGCACCGGCUAACUCCGUGCCAGCAGCCGCGGUAAUACGGAGGGUGCGAGCGUUAAUCGGAAUUACUGGGCGUAAAGGCGCGCAGGCGGUUAAUUAAGUUGGAUGUGAAAUCCCCGGGCUUAACCUGGGAAUGGCAUUCAAGACUGGUUAGCUAGAGUCUUGUAGAGGGGGUAGAAUUCCAUGUGUAGCGGUGAAUGCGUAGAGAUGUGGAGGAAUACCGGUGGCGAAGGCGGCCCCUGGACAAAGACUGACGCUCAUGUGCGAAAGCGUGGGGAGCAAACAGGGAUUAGAUACC